UGGCUCAGGACGAACGCUGGCGGCGUGCCUAACACAUGCAAGUCAAGGGGGCCCAGCAAUGGGCAACCGGCGAACGGGUGCGUAACACGUGAGCAACCUACCGAACUGUGGGGGAUAGCCGGCCUAACGGCCGAGUAAUACCGCAUACGCUUUCAGUGAGGCAUUUCAUUGAAAGGAAACCUACGGGACAGAUCGAGGGGCUCGCGGCCUAUCAGCUAGUUGGCGAGGUAACGGCUCACCAAGGCAACGACGGGUGGCUGGUCUGAGAGGAUGGCCAGCCACAUUGGGACUGAGAUACGGCCCAGACUCCUACGGGAGGCAGCAGUGGGGAAUCUUGCGCAAUGGCCUAACGGCUGUCGCAGCGACGCCGCGUGUGGGAUGAAGCUCUUCGGAGUGUAAACCACUGUUGCCCGGGACGAACAGCUCGAUUCAUCGAGCCUGACGGUACCGGGUGAGGAAGCACCGGCUAACUCCGUG
rnacentral:rRNA from 1 species